UACGUAGGGUGCGAGCGUUGUCCGGAAUUACUGGGCGUAAAGAGCUCGUAGGUGGUUUGUCGCGUUGUCCGUGAAAACUCACAACUCAAUUGUGGGCGUGCGGGCGAUACGGGCAGACUGGAGUACUGCAGGGGAGACUGGAAUUCCUGGUGUAGCGGUGAAAUGCGCAGAUAUCAGGAGGAACACCGGUGGCGAAGGCGGCGAUCUGGACGAUGACUGACGCUGAGACGCGAAAGCGUGGGGAGCAAACAGG
rnacentral:rRNA from 1 species